GCCAGGAUGGCAUAGUGGUUUGAGUGUUAGACUACAACUUUAGAGACCAGGGUUCGAUUCUCUGUUCAAGCA